AAGGCUUUAGCUUAAUUAAAGCGUCUGAGUUGCAUUUAGAAGAUACAGGAUAGGGUCUUGUAAGUUUUA
rnacentral:tRNA from 1 species